AGAAGAAGCAGCAGCACUAGCGCCAAGAUGACGGACCAAUAAACUACGGUACAAAGCCAGGUUCCUAGUGAUGUGAAAGAAGGUGACUGGGUGCUGAUUAAGACCUCUGAGAAGAUAACGUGGUCUGAUCCAAAGUGGGAGGGUCCAUUCCAAGCGUCAUUGACAACUCCUACCGCUGUGAAAAUUCAAAGCACACAGAAACUCUUUAAGGAAGAUCCCGGACGAGCCCCCACUUAUGUUACGACCCGGCUCAGCCAGGGGUGAAGGAGGGGAAGUAACAUAAAGAAAAUGGAGAUAUGGGAAGUCUAAUGAAUGUUGUUUAUUUGUAAUGUUUAACGUAACAGACACAUAUGCAAAAGAAUGCACCACUAACAUGAGGCAACAAACCAAACAGCAUGUAGCACAAAAGAAAAGAACCCAAAAUAAAUCACUCAAGGUUUUCUUGGUGAUUUGGCAAUUAGCUAACAUGGAACCAAAACAGUCAAAACUCACACAAAGGAGAUCAAACCCUAGGUUUGAUACCUAUUUAACAAGUCUAGCUAGUAACAAGCUAGCCAGCUCUAACCAAGUCGCCAGACAGGUUAAACAGUAACCAAUAGCUUAACCACAACCAACAAAUACCACCACUAGCAAAGCUUCACAAACACUUGAGGCGAGCUGCUCAGAUUAAAUCACAGCCGUGCUUUGGUGACAGGUGUAGAGAGUUUAUAUAGGCCGGACUCUGUGAUGAUUGGUGGCACAUUUGUGGAAGCAGACGAUAGACAGUCCACAGGAUAUCCCGGCGACGUCCAGCAGGAGGAAUACUGAGCGUCCAGGAAGAUCCGCCUCCACCAGCAACCAGCAAGAAGAACACAAAAGGGGGAAUCCCACCGGGAGGUAGUCCUGCGCAGCCAAGCUGCUGGAAACGAAGGAGCAGGGUUUUCUCCUCUUCAGCGGAGCACAUCAGCAGCCUGUACAUAAGGUUAUAACAACAAAAACACCCCUACGACCACUGGUCGUAACAGAGGUGUAUGCAUAAAGCUUUUUGGAAGUGUAUACAUGAAUGUGAUAUUAAACUGAUCAAUAAUAAACAGGAGGGAAUUGUUGGAAAAAUGUAUAAAAAUUAUCAUUGUUUAGUUUAAACAAGGUUUAUGUUUUAAGUUCUACUCUAGUGAAGAUGAUUUAUGUG